rnacentral:rRNA from 1 species
UACGUAGGGGGCAAGCGUUGUCUGGAUUUAUUGGGCGUAAAGAGCGUGUAGGCGGCCAGACAGGUCCGUUGUGAAAACUCGAGGCUCAACCUCGAGAUGUCGAUGGAAACCGUCUGGCUAGAGUCCGGAAGAGGAGUGUGGAAUUCCUGGUGUAGCGGUGAAAUGCGCAGAUAUCAGGAAGAACACCUAUGGCGAAGGCAGCACUCUGGGACGGUACUGACGCUGAGACGCGAAAGCGUGGGGAGCGAACAGG